CUGCCCGUAGCUCAGCUGGAUAGAGCAUCUGCCUUCUAAGCAGGGGGUCACAGGUUCGAAUCCUGUCGGGCAGGCCA
rnacentral:tRNA from 2 species